CCCACGGACAGUGACCAGGACCAGGACCUUGAUCCUCUGCAGCCCCAGGAAGAGGGUGAGGCCGCAGAUAGCCCUAGAGGCCCACAAGCUCAAGAACAUCGAGCUCCCCGGCGCGCCCAGUCGCCAGCCGUGAUACCUGUGGUGCCCCCCAGACGUCAUGCUGCUGAAGCGGGUGCUGCUGCUCCUGCUGCCGAAGCGGGUGCUGCUGCUC